AUUCUACCCAUGCGGGGAAGGAUGAGAAGCUUCGACUAAGGUUCGAUUCGAGCGCAGCGAGAAAGCGUUGCCGCAGGCAACGACCCGAAGGGCGAAGCGCGCUGCGCUGAGUCAUCCUUCCCCCACCACCA
rnacentral:sRNA from 40 species